GCAACUUUGGCCGAGCGGUUAAGGCGCUAGACUCAAGUUCUAGUCACGAAAGUGGCGUGGGUUCGAUUCCCACAGGUUGCA
rnacentral:tRNA from 1 species